AUUGAACGCUGGCGGCAGGCUUAACACAUGCAAGUCGAGCGGAGAUGAGGUGCUUGCACCUUAUCUUAGCGGCGGACGGGUGAGUAAUGCUUAGGAAUCUGCCUAUUAGUGGGGGACAACAUUCCGAAAGGAAUGCUAAUACCGCAUACGCCCUACGGGGGAAAGCAGGGGAUCUUCGGACCUUGCGCUAAUAGAUGAGCCUAAGCCGGAUUAGCUAGUUGGUGGGGUAAAGGCCUACCAAGGCGACGAUCUGUAGCGGGUCUGAGAGGAUGAUCCGCCACACUGGGACUGAGACACGGCCCAGACUCCUACGGGAGGCAACAGUGGGGAAUAUUGGACAAUGGGCGGAAGCCUGAUCUAGCCAUGCCGUGUGUGUGAAGAAGGCCUUUUGGUUGUAAAGCACUUUAAGCGAGGAGGAGGCUACCUGGAUUAAUACUCUAGGAUAGUGGACGUUACUCGCAGAAUAAGCACCGGCUAACUCUGUGCCAGCCGCCGCAGUAAAAC
rnacentral:rRNA from 1 species